GUUUCUGUGGUGUAAUGCUUAUCACAUUUGCCUCACAUGCAAAAGGUCCCUGGUUCAAAACCAGACAGAAACA